GACGUCGCAUUUCUGUCGCCUCUGAAGUAUCUUAGCAACCGUGUGCAGCGUCGCGCGGAUCAGUUAUGCUAGGCUUAACUAAAAUGAUAAGUAAUAGUAAUAGAUCAGUAAUAGUAAAGUAUAAUUGAAUAGUUUGUUAAUGUACAGGUUUAAAAUGGCGCCGAAAAAGAAAGGCGGCCUUCAGACUGUGCAGAAGGAAACGGAUGAGCUGGAGAGGAAGGUGGACACGCUGGUGCAGGACUUUAACAGACUGGACGUCUCAGACAGAACCCAGACAUCACAGAGGUGUUCAGAUGUACAGAGCGCAGUGACAGAUGCACUAACAUCGCUCCAGAAAUUAACCAAAGGAGAUGAAUGGGCUCCUGUAGGGAAUUACGAUCAGAGGAAGCGGCAGGAGGAGGAACGACUCAGGACUUUACAGAAGAAACUCAGAGCUCUUACAAUACAACCUCAGGACAACUUGGCUGAGGAUGAGGAGGAUAGUGAGGAAGAAGAUGGCGAAGUGGAGGAGGAAGAUGCUGCGCUGGAUGACGAUGAUGAUGACGAUGAUGAUGAUGAUGAUGAUGAAGGUGCAGACAGAAAGACGGUAACUGCUCAGAAGAGCGAUGUGUGUUAUGUGGCUCUCGGCUCUUUCAGAGGACAGGAGGAGGGAGACCUUACAGUCCAGAAAGGAACUGUUGUUAAAAUCCUGCAGAAGAGUGAUGAUGGAUGGUGGUACGCUCAGGACGCAGAAGGAAACAAAGGCCUCGUCCCCAAAAACUACCUUAAGAAAAUGUCUACACGUGAGCGAGUGGCCGAUGAUGAUGAUGAUGAUGAUGAUGAUGAUGAUGAUGAUGAUGAUGAAGAGAGUGAUGAAGUACAGGAGGAAGAGCAUGAUCCUGCUGAUGGGAGACCAAGCACUUCAUCCAACUGGGACACAGUGAGAAAAGCUGUGAGUGAGAUCGAUGCCACUGACGUGUUGUCGGCCAUGGGAGCCAUUCCUCCAGGCUUCAGACCCUCCACUCUGUCCAAACUGCUGGAGGAAGGGACAUCCUAUAGUGCCAGUCACUAUAUUCAGCCCAAACUCAGCCAAUCAGAGCUCAGUUUUAAAGAUCUUCAGCUGGACCCAGACACCGGCAAGGUUCUUGCACACCCAUCUCGAGUGUGUGUGACCGUGACUCUAUGGAGUUGUAGAAUGAUCCCGCCUCCAGGGGUGGGGCUGAGGGUCCUGAGCCGUCACAUACGUCUGUGUGCUUUUAAUGGAACUGAGGUGCUGAGUAAUAUCCACACCGUCAGAGCCUCCUACUCUCCCUCCAGCCCAAAGACCUGGAGCUUCUCCCCACGGAUGAGCGGUUUGCUCCCGGUUCUGUUAGAUGGAGAUUGUUUUUUUCGCUGUGAUUCUGACUCUCCUGAUGUGGGAAUCCUGUUCGAGCUAGGUGUCACCUACAUCAGAAACUCCACAGGAGAGAGAGGGGAUCUGAGCUGUGGGUGGGCUUUUCUUAAACUGUUUGAUGAAAAUGGAGCACUCAUACCUCUACGAACACAGGAGUUGGCUGUGCAUGGAGGUACUCCAUAUGAGGGAGUAGUUGAUACAUAUGGCAUGUCAUCUAAAAGAGGUGGCUCCACUGGUGUGCUUCAUCAGAUGCUGAUGUCCAGGAAACUUCCCAAACUCAUCAUUAAGCUCAGAUCCCCAAACACUCGCACCAGAGAACAGCUCAGCACGUCUCAGGCGUCUUACAUUACAGACACUACAGUUUAUUGCUCUGAACACAUCUGCAGUCCUCAUGUCUCCUGCAGCAGGUCUACGGCAUGUUCACGCAGCAGGAUAACUUUUCCGUUAUUUCAGUUAACUCGGCGCAGUGAUAUGGAAGUGUAACACGGUCAAGACUGGACUACUUUAGCCGUGCAUUUACUGAAAAAUAAUCACACACCUCAGAACGGCCAUCAUCCAAUCAGAAUCGAGAAUUCAACAGCGCUGUGGUAUAAUUAUCUAUAAUGACUAUAAAUAUUUGGAAGUUACACUUAAAUGGAUAAAUAUGACACUAUUCAUUCAUUAAUACUGUUGUUUUCUGCACUAGCACUGUCCAUAUAGUGAUAUAUUAGUGAUAGAUUAGAUCCAUUAGAUUUAUUUCAACACUCGCCAUCUUCUCAUUCAUAAAUCAUCAUAUUAGUGCUUUUACUUUUCAUUUUUUAAAUUGUCUAUCGCUCUUGUGUUACGUAUUACUUCUGACAGCAAAGAAAGAACAGAUUAUACCCCGUCUAGUCGGCUGUUUCUGCUUUCUGACAGUAAAAUGAAUAAUGCAGUGAGGCGCUCACGAGCACCGUGUUAAAGCCCUAAAUGAGAACCGUGACACACCUGGGCCUCACACACCUCAGGUGCCAGUGUAAAUAUAUAAACAGUUCCUGACUGAACCUCCUGCUCCGACUGUCCACUCUGUCCACAUCAGCACAGUCCCAGUCCACUACCGUAGCGUAAUCUCUGAAGGAGUUCAGUGUGUAUUCUGUGGUGUGUGUGUGUGUGUGUGUGUGUGUGUGUGUGUGUGUGUGUGUGUGUGAGGGAGGAAGCUCAGUAGAAGAACCCGCAUUCCUCAGCGUGACAGGACAAAGUGCUGAGAUUGUAGCUGAGUCACAUUUCCGUCAGCACAUUUAACGCCACAUUCACAUGAGGACAGUGGUAAGAAAUGCCUGGUGUGUGUGUGUGUGUGCGUGUGUGUGAAACACUCAGUACAGGAGUGUGUGUAGUGUGUAUCUGAGCACACUGUGAGUCACAGAGAAUUCUUUACAUCUUAUCUGGAUUUUUGUGAAGCUGCUUUGUGACAACGUCCAUUAUCAUAAUGUGUAUAUAAAUAAAAUGGAAUUGAAUUGAAGUUCUGAUUAUCGAGUGACGCUGUUGUAAUCUGUCUCAGUGUGUACGAGUCCAAGCCACUGUGAGAUCAGACGCAUUAGAUUCAAGACAGGCAGGCAGACAGACAGACUGGAAAGUAGACAGACGAGAGAGAGACAGUGCUGGAAGCGAGACAGUGCUGGUCAGUAGACGAGAGGCAGACAGACAGGCGAAGAGACAGGUAAACAGGCAGGAAGACAGGUAGACCGAGAGAGACAGACCUGGCGACCAAAAGAAGACCGGCUCGGCCCACACUGCACACUAAAUGAAGUGGAAACAGAACUUCACUUCUUAACAACACGCCCUAAUUAUACACACUUCAGGGAAACUUUUUCCCUGUUUCACAGCAGAGAUUUCAGUCUGAACAAACUCCCACAGGAGGAACGUCAGCAGGUUCGAACCUAGCCACCAGGUGUGUGUCCUGUCACCACAAAUAGAGUAACCAGUGGAACAGGACCAGGAACCACACAGUAACACCAACACUGUACACACCUACACAAUGCUCUGACAAAUCAGUGUGUGUUAUUUUAUCAACCUUUUUUAAAUUGUGUGUGAAUGUGUGUGCAUGUGUGUGUGUGUGUGUGUGUGUGUGUGUGUAAUGUAAUGUUACCAGUGUAAAGCCUUUUACCCUAACAGUAAUGAUACCUGAAUCUUGAGAGACAGACAGGUAGAAAGACAGGGAGACAGGUGGGUAGUUGUUGGUUUUUACUGUACUGUGUGUGUGUGUGUGUGUGUGUGUUACGCAGCUUGCUCCCUGCCACUGUUCUCGGCUGCAUGUCCAUAGUUCCCCUGCUGGUUCUGUACCGACAACUGCUCGCUGACACACUGCUACUGGACCGAGUCACCAUGCAGAAUGCAGAUCUGAUAUGUAGCUCGGUUCUAUCUACGUUCCCUG